rnacentral:rRNA from 1 species
CGUUAUCCGGAAUUAUUGGGCAUAAAGGGCAUCUAGGCGGCCUAACAAGUCAGGGGUGAAAACCUGCGGCUCAACCGCAGGCUUGCCUUUGAAACUGUAAGGCUGGAGUAUCGGAGAGGUGGACGGAACUGCACGAGUAGAGGUGAAAUUCGUAGAUAUGUGCAGGAAUGCCGAUGAUGAAGAUAGUUCACUGGACGAUAACUGACGCUGAAGUGCGAAAGCCGGGGGAGCAAACAGGAUUAGAUACCCCCGUAGUCC